rnacentral:rRNA from 1 species
UACGAAGGGGACUAGCGUUGUUCGGAAUCACUGGGCGUAAAGCGCACGUAGGCGGCUUUCUAAGUCGGGGGGUGAAAUCCUGGAGCUCAACUCCAGAACUGCCUUCGAUACUGGAAGCUCGAGUCCGGGAGAGGUGAGUGGAACUGCGAGUGUAGAGGUGAAAUUCGUAGAUAUUCGCAAGAACACCAGUGGCGAAGGCGGCUCACUGGCCCGGUACUGACGCUGAGGUGCGGAAAGCGUGGG